UACGGAAGGUGCGAGCGUUGUUCGGAAUCACUGGGCUUAAAGGGCGUGUAGGCGGGACCGAAGGUGCCUUGUGAAAUCCCCCGGCUCAACCGGGGAAUGGCUGGGCAAACCGUGGUCCUUGAGGCAAGUAGAGGCGACUGGAACCUUUGGUGGAGCGGUGAAAUGCGUAGAGAUCAAAGGGAACACCGGUGGCGAAAGCGAGUCGCUGGGCUUGUUCUGACGCUGAGACGCGAAAGCGUGGGGAGCGAACAGG
rnacentral:rRNA from 1 species